rnacentral:rRNA from 1 species
UACGUAGGGGGCGAGCGUUGUCCGGAUUUAUUGGGCGUAAAGAGCGUGUAGGCGGCCAGGUAGGUCUGCUGUGAAAACUCGAGGCUCAACCUCGAGACGUCGGCGGAAACCAUCUGGCUAGAGUCCGGAAGAGGAGAGUGGAAUUCCUGGUGUAGCGGUGAAAUGCGCAGAUAUCAGGAAGAACACCCGUGGCGAGGCGGCUCUCUGGGACGGUACUGACGCUGAGACGCGAAAGCGUGGGGAGCGAACAGG